UACGUAGGGGGCAAGCGUUGUCCGGAUUUAUUGGGCGUAAAGAGCGUGUAGGCGGCUAGGUAGGUCCGUUGUGAAAACUGGAGGCUUAACCUCCAGCUGUCGAUGGAAACCAUCUGGCUAGAGUCCGGAAGAGGAGAGUGGAAUUCCUGGUGUAGCGGUGAAAUGCGCAGAUAUCAGGAAGAACACCCGUGGCGAAGGCGGCUCUCUGGGACGGUACUGACGCUGAGACGCGAAAGCGUGGGGAGCGAACAGG
rnacentral:rRNA from 1 species